AUAAAAGUAAUGAUGAGGACAUGAGUUGUUUUUUACGAUUCUCAGAGAGGGAAGCCUUAGGCUGUGAGCUUCCUAAUACGGAAAGACGAACUUACCACCUCUAAACUUCAAGAGUGAACUGCAUGCAUAAUGCAUUGUAAUUCUUGGCGGAUAAAACCGUUAUCAAUUUACACGAGCUAUAAAAUGAGCUUAUUUCGUUAUAAAUUCAUUUUAUUAGAAUAAGGGUGGAACCACGAUUUCAACACUCGUCCCUUUG
rfam:Bacillus anthracis str. 'Ames Ancestor', complete genome.